rnacentral:ncRNA from 2 species
UACUUGGUUGAUCCUGCCAAGGAAGCACACUUAGGUCAUAGAUUAAGCCAUGCAAGUGUUAGUUCAGGUAACGAAACUGCGAAUAGCUCAUUAAUACGCUCAGAAUCUAUUUGGCGGCGACCAACAGGUCUUAAAUGGAUAGCAGCAGCAACUCUGGUGCUAAUACAUGCGAUUGUUUCUCCAGAUGUGAAUUAUGGAGGAAAAGUUGACCUCAUCAGAGGCACGCCAUUCGACUGAGUGACCUAUCAGCUUGUACUUAGGGUCUUUACCUAGGUAGGCUAUCACGGGUAACGGGCGGUUACCGUCGGACUGCCGGAGAAGGCGCCUGAGAGAUAGCGACUAUAUCCACGGGUAGCAGCAGGCGCGAAACUUUCCCACUCGAGACUUUCGGAGGAGGUAAUGACCAGUUCCAUUGGUGCCUUUUGGUACUGUGGAUAGGGGUACGGUUUUCCACCGUACCGAAACCUAGCAGAGGGCCAGUCUGGUGCCAGCAGCUGCGGUAAUUCCAGCUCUGCGAGUUUGCUCCCAUAUUGUUGCAGUUAAAACGCCCGUAGUCUGAAUUGGCCAGCAAUGGUCGUACGUAUUUUUACGUUCACUGUGAACAAAUCAGGACGCUUAGAGUAUGGCCACAUGAAUGACUCAGCGCAGUAUGAAGUCUUUGUUUUCUUCCGAAAACAAGCUCAAUGAGAGCCAUCGGGGGGUAGAUCUAUCUCAUGACGAGUGGUGGAAUACUUUGACUCAUGAGAGAGAAGCUGAGGCGAAGCGUCUACCUAGAGGGUUUCUGUCGAUCAAGGGCGAGAGUAGGAGUAUCCAACAGGAUUA